AAGACCUUGCGCUUUUGGAGCGGCCGAUGCCUGAUUAGCUUGUUGGUAAGGUAAAAGCUUACCAAGGCUUCGAUCAGUAGCUGGUCUGAGAGGACGACCAGCCACACUGGGACUGAGACACGGCCCAGACUCCUACGGGAGGCAGCAGUGGGGAAUUUUGGACAAUGGGCGCAAGCCUGAUCCAGCCAUGCCGCGUGAGUGAAGAAGGCCUUCGGGUUGUAAAGCUCUUUCAGCCGGGAAGAAAAGGUUGCGAUUAAUAAUCGCAAUUUAUGACGGUACCGGAAGAAGAAGCACCGGCUAACUACGUGCCAGCAGCCGCGGUAAUACGUAGGGUGCGAGCGUUAAUCGGAAUUACUGGGCGUAAAGGGUGCGCAGGCGGUUUUGUAAGUCAGAUGUGAAAUCCCCGGGCUUAACCUGGGAACU
rnacentral:rRNA from 1 species